rnacentral:rRNA from 1 species
UACAGAGGGUGCGAGCGUUGUUCGGAAUUACUGGGCGUAAAGCGCGCGCAGGCGGCCCUUUAAGUCCGUCGGGCAAAUGCCGGGGCUCAACCCCGAUGCAUGCCGAGGAUACUGGAGGGCUGGAGACACGUAGAGGCAAGCGGAAUUCCGGGUGUAGCGGUGGAAUGCGUAGAGAUCCGGAAGAACACCGGAGGCGAAGGCGGCUUGCUGGGCGUGAUCUGACGCUCAGGCGCGAAAGCGUGGGGAGCGAACAGG